UACGGGGGGGGCAAGCGUUGUUCGGAAUUACUGGGCGUAAAGGGCGCGUAGGCGGCCACGACAAGUCAGUUGUGAAAUCUCUGGGCUUAACUCGGAACGGCCAAGUGAAACUGUCAAGCUAGAGUGCAGAAGGGGCAAUCGGAAUUCUUGGUGUAGCGGUGGAAUGCGCAGAUAUCAGGAGGAACACCGGUGGCGAAGGCGGGUCUCUGGGCAGUAACUGACGCUGAGGAGCGAAAGUGUGGGGAGCGAACAGG
rnacentral:rRNA from 1 species